rnacentral:rRNA from 1 species
AACGAAGGGGGCAAGCGUUGUCCGGAAUCAUUGGGCGUAAAGCGCGUGUAGGCGGCUCAAUAAGACUGCUGUGAAAGACCAGAGCUCAACCCGGGUAAGCCGGUGGAAACUGUCGGGCUAGAGUCCGGAAGGGGCGAGGGGAAUUCCUGGUGUAGCGGUGAAAUGCGCAGAUAUCAGGAGGAACACCAAUGGCGUAGGCAGCUCGUUGGCAAGGUACUGACGCUGAGACGCGAAAGCGUGGGGAGCAAACAGG